GACGAACGCUGGCGGCGUGCUUAACACAUGCAAGUCGAGCGGAAAGGCCACUUCGGUGGUACUCGAGCGGCGAACGGGUGAGUAACACGUGAGUAAUCUGCCCCUGGCUUUGGGAUAGCCACCGGAAACGGUGAUUAAUACCGGAUACGACCACUUCUCGCAUGGGAUGGUGGUGGAAAGUUUUUUCGGCCAGGGAUGUGCUCGCGGCCUAUCAGCUUGAUGGUGCGGUAAUGGCUCACCAUGGCUUCGACGGGUAGCCGGCCUGAGAGGGUGACCGGUCACACUGGGACUGGGACACGGCCCGGACUCCUACGGGAGGCAGCAGUGGGGAAUAUUGGACAAUGGGCGGAAGCCUGAUCCAGCAACGCCGCGUGAGGGAUGACGGCCUUCGGGUUGUAAACCUCUUUCAGCAGGGACGAAGCGCAAGUGACGGUACCUGCAGAAGAAGCACCGGCCAACUACGUGCCAGCCGCCGCAGUAA
rnacentral:rRNA from 1 species